UUAUAAGGAAGCGCAUCUGUCGCGAUGCAUCUGCCAAAAAAAUCACUGAACUUUAGCGGUGCGUCGUCUUUUUCAUCCAAAACUAUGGAACAGCCUCAAGGAAGAAGAAAGGUCUGCUGUGUGGGACCAUUUUGAUCUUACAUCGGAAAAUAAGAUGGAGGAAGCAGAAGUGGCUGCAGGGAGCAGCGAGCAUGGUGUUUCUCUUGACUUGAAUUAUAUACUGAUGCAGCUGGAUUCUUUUUCUGCAAGUUUGGAUCAGUUGGAAGUGAAGACUCAUCUGUUGCAGUGUCAUCUUACAAUGUCCUUUACACGCCCUGAUAAGUCAGCAUGUCUGAGCUCUGGUGCAGAGGACUCAACAUGGUUGACAGCAGUUCCAGAAGUGGAAAACUAAAGAGAAGUGUGUGGGUUGACGCCUUGCUGGAUAUAUUAGACAGCACUGAUGCUGAGCUCCAGACGCACGUUCCAUUGCAUCUAUCAGCAUCAGGUGUGUGGUUGUAUGGUGUGUGACCAUGUCUCUCACACUAGGGAAACU